CAGCAGCCGCGGUAAUACAGAGGGUGCGAGCGUUAAUCGGAUUUACUGGGCGUAAAGCGUGCGUAGGCGGCUUUUUAAGUCGGAUGUGAAAUCCCUGAGCUUAACUUAGGAAUUGCAUUCGAUACUGGGAAGCUAGAGUAUGGGAGAGGAUGGUAGAAUUCCAGGUGUAGCGGUGAAAUGCGUAGAGAUCUGGAGGAAUACCGAUGGCGAAGGCAGCCAUCUGGCCUAAUACUGACGCUGAGGUACGAAAGCAUGGGGAGCAAACAGGAUUAGAUACCCAAGUAGUCCCUGUCUCUUAUAC
rnacentral:rRNA from 1 species